GAUGAACGCUGGCGGCGUGCCUAAUACAUGCAAGUCGAGCGAACGGACGAGAAGCUUGCUUUUCUGAUGUUAGCGGCGGACGGGUGAGUAACACGUGGAUAACCUACCUAUAAGACUGGGAUAACUUCGGGAAACCGGAGCUAAUACCGGAUAAUAUUUUGAACCGCAUGGUUCAAAAGUGAAAGACGGUCUUGCUGUCACUUAUAGAUGGAUCCGCGCUGCAUUAGCUAGUUGGUAAGGUAACGGCUUACCGAGGCAACGAUGCAUAGCCGACCUGAGAGGGUGAUCGGCCACACUGGAACUGAGACACGGUCCAGACUCCUACGGGAGGCAGCAGUAGGGAAUCUUCCGCAAUGGGCGAAAGCCUGACGGAGCAGCGCCGCGUGAGUGAUGAAGGUCUUCGGAUCGUAAAACUCUGUUAUUAGGGAAGAACAUAUGUGUAAGUAACUGUGCAUAUCUUGACGGUACCUAAUCAGAAAGCCACGGCUAACUACGUG
rnacentral:rRNA from 1 species